rnacentral:tRNA from 1 species
UCCAGGGAUGGGAAUCGAACCCACAAUGUUCCGCUUACCGGGCAGAUGCCAUGUCCACUAGGCUAGUUCCUUGU